rnacentral:rRNA from 1 species
AUGGUAUGCUUGCUGUCCGUCGACGUCUCGGAGCCAUACCGUGGUGCCACUGUUCAUCGGAUGGAUUUCUUAAAACAGCAAUGGUGCAAAGUGGAUGAUCUUGGCGGCCGAGCCUUCCUCUUGUCCCUCUAUGUGUUUGGUGCUUCCUGCUCUGGCGACAAAUGUGGCUUGCGACAGAAUUGUCUCUAUCUCCCAGAUCCGGACGAGAAAACGUUGCAGAUCUUCAACGUAAAGGGUGGAAGUGUAGAAUUGCAGAAACUUGAUGAAGCUCCGGUGUCGGAUAAAUCAUUCUGGGUCGUCCCUACCGAUCCAUAG